rnacentral:sRNA from 1 species
GCCAGGUGCGGUGCCACACGCCUGUAAUCCUAGCAGCUCGGGAGGCUGAGACAGGAGAAUCAGGAGUUCAGAGCCAGCCUCGGCAACUUAGAGAGGCCCUAAGCAAAUCAGGGAGACUCAGUCUCUA